rnacentral:lncRNA from 1 species
AAACUACUCUAGGACGUGGUUGGAUAAACGCAUGUUGUUCAGCAGAGGCCGUUAACCUUUAAAGCGCUGAUACGUUUUGGUUUAUUUCAAUUUUUUUAACCCGAAUUGCUGUCUUUUUAAGAAGUCUCUGAAAUCGUCUCCCUUGACAGGGCAAGCAAAACGUGCCUUAAAUCUCCAUCUCGUGGAAGAUCUGCUUGGCUGGCAGCUGAUGUGUGUUGCUGUUGGGUUUUAAGGAACAUCUCUGUGUUGUACUUCUUUUGUUGUUUAGCUUUGAUUUAGUAUUUUUUUCCUUUUUCUCUUUGUUUUAUUUGAUUGGUUGUUUUUGGUCUUUUGCAUUUGGUUUUUCAAAGAGCUUUGGCAAACACCAGAGCCAUCAAGGCCAGGGCAGGCCCUCUCUCCUCCUUCUCUUACUGAUGCUCUUGACCUGAGUUCCUUGAGUGCUCCUCUGCGAUCUGCCAAGGUGCAAAAUUUGCAAAAUUAUCUCCUGCCUUUAAUCCCAGCUUUCUCCCACCUGUGGGAUGCUCCCUCCAGUUCUGUCUGGGUUCAGAUUGAAUUAGCUGUGUUGAAAGGAGGAUUCAGCUUUGUGGAAUCUGUCCCUCUGCUCCCUUGCAUGCUAUCAGAGGUAAUUUAGGUGUUGCAUGUACUUGCAUUGCUCUGAGGGAGUUGGAAUCUCUAGGGCACACAUUCACAUGCUGGAAC